GCGCGGUAUUGGAUAUCCGCGUCCAAGCAGUUAGGCUGGGAAAUAGGCAAAUCCGUUUCCCGUAAGGCUGAGCUGUGAUGGCGAGCGAAUAUAGUAGCGAAGUUCCUGAUUCCACACUGCCAAGAAAAGCCUCUAGCGAGGUGAGAGGUGCCCGUACCGCAAACCGACACAGGUAGGCGAGGAGAGAAUCCUAAGGUGAUCGAGAGAACUCUCG
rnacentral:rRNA from 1 species